GGGCCCGUAGCUCAGCCAGGUUUCACAUCAACGGACUGAAAACCUGACGGUCCCCGGUUCGAAUCCGGGCGGGCCCACCA
rnacentral:tRNA from 2 species